GUCACUGAGGGGUGGACCUUGAGGUUUCUGUGGAUCCCUGUGUAGCUCUCAGUUACUAUCCCAGUGCCAUGCUUGCCACCAUGCUCCCUGCCAUGAUGAUAAAGGACUAAUCCUCUGAAAAUAUGACCGACAUGUUGACUGAGUCCACAGAAGGUGAGCUGGUGUCACGUGUAGAACAGCCAAUGGACCAGGAAGAUGGAGAUCACAGGACAACCUCGGAUGCCAUUCCUCAGACACUGGAGAAUGCUGAAGAGUGAAUAGUGAAGAGAACACAGUGUGGCCUGAUGGCUCCCCAGAGUGAAGAAGACACAGCUUUACUGAGGUCACUGAGACAUGGAUUCUGACCAGGACAAGGAACACCUCAACAAUAUAUAUGACGCACAGGAAGCCAUUGGGCUGAUCCGUGGGGUUAGGAGCACCUGUCACUACAGGCAUGUGAGCAGAGUGACAUCUCUAGAAGAGGCCUUCUAGAAGGAGCUGAUGGCUCAGUUCCUGAUGCUGCUAUGAAGGCCCUUUGGAAUCCAGUUCUGUUAUGAAAGAUGUGUUUGCAACAACGACAGGAGGGGGCUCAGCUAUCAUUAGAAAAUGUGUCUUCUGGCUUGUGUGCUUUUCUGUUUUUGGGCUGAGCUCCUUCUGUUAGUCAUGUGGGAAAGCACCUUCUAAAAAAGUAACCACACUAAACACAGGGUUUGCCUGUCACUUUCUGUAGCUGCUGCGAAUCCCAACCCAGAGCACACUGGGCCUCAAAAGUCCAUGUAGCCAAAGCUACUGGAUAGCUUAAAUCAGAAAGGUGAGUGUUCAAAUACGAAUUCAAACACACACACACACACACACACACACCCACACACCCACACUCACACUCACUUUACACACACACACACACACACACACACACACACACACAUUUUACAUCUCUUGGGGUCAUCACAGUGUCAGCGGCAUCACCACACAAAUCCUUGUUAGCAGGGCUCCAGGGAUUCCAAGGUACCCCCUCCUCCAGCUGCCAGCUCCCCACCCUUAAGCAGCCCUUGGGCUGCCUCCUUCCUUGUCUUUGUACAACUUCCCUGGUUCUAGCUGCCUUGGCUCUGGCCAGGCUCUGUGCACAUGUUCAGGAGGGUUCCAAACCUUAUAACACAAAAAGAGAAAGUUGUCAGGGUUCAUGGGAGUAACUGCAUGGGUUUAUGGCAAAGGCAAGCCUCCUGGAGCCUAUACUAAGUCCUGCAUGGGAGAGGCAGGGAGGGACGGGAUGGAUACACACACACACACACACACACACAUACACACACACACACACACACAACAGGCUGGCAACAAAAGCCUUGGGUUUUACCCCAGUACUUCAUAAACCCAGAGUGGUGUCACACUUAGACUUGUAAUCCCAGCACUCAGGAGCUGGAGGCAAGAGGAUCAGAAAUUCUAGGUCAUGCUCAGAUACAUAGUAAGUUCAAGGCCAAGCCUGGGCUACAUGAGAGCCUGUGGAUCUGAUGGCGAUAAGUCACAGAGGAAUGAAAGUGAACUUGUAGGAAAUCUCCCUGGGCUCCUCCUGUCCCCACCUGGCCUCAUUGUGGGCGUUCACAGAAAAUAGAGCUCUAAGAAGCAUGUUUGUAUUUUUUGAAAAUAUGAAAAUUAUCACAAAUGAGCAAUGACAAGAGGCAACUUGGGAGGAAUAUAUCCACUGUGCCUUGAACAAAAGGCUAAGUUGCUUAAUGAUGAGUUCUUACAGCAACAAAAACAAAAAUAGAGCAGUCCAGAAAAACAUGUGGUACCAGGAAAGGAACAGGCAGUUCAGACAAAAGAAAAAGGUGGUCCAUCAGCAUCUGGUGGAUGACGAAACCCACACUGGAAUAUAUCGGUGCUCACCUGUAGAGUGCCAGGGUUAAAGGCCCAGGAACUGCCUACAUGCAGAGCCUUCCAAAGCCAGGUAAUCCCUGUCCGUCAAAUCCCUUUGACUCAGCAGGUCCAGUUCUAGGCAUCAACUCUACCACUGGACUCAUGGAACUUUACAAAGAUCAAUGCACAAACUGUCUUGCUGUCUCAGCCCCAAACGUACAGACCCUAUAAGAGCUCAUAAACAGGGCUCUGGGUGAAUAAAUUGUGUUGAAACACA